CGGAGGGAGCUAGCGUUGUUCGGAAUUACUGGGCGUAAAGAGCGCGUAGGCGGUCUGUAAAGUUAGGAGUGAAAGCCCAAGGCUUAACCUUGGAACUGCUCUUAAAACUCACAGACUAGAGAUUGGUAGAGGAUGGUGGAAUUCCUAGUGUAGAGGUGAAAUUCGUAGAUAUUAGGAGGAACACCGGUGGCGAAGGCGGCCAUCUGGGCCAACACUGACGCUGAGGCGCGAAAGCGUGGGGAGCAAACAGGAUUAGAUACCCUGGUAGUCCACGCCGUAAACGAUGAGUGCUAGAUAUCGGGACUUUAGUUUCGGUGUCAAAGCUAACGUAUUAAGCACUCCGCCUGGGGAGUACGGUCGCAAGAUUA
rnacentral:rRNA from 1 species